UUUUGUCGUAGCUUGCUAUGAUAAAAAUUAGUGGCAGACGGGUGAGUAAUGCAUAGGAAUCUACCUAGUAGUAUGGGAUAGCCACUAGAAAUGGUGGGUAAUACUGUAUAAUCCCUGCGGGGGAAAGAUUUAUCGCUAUUAGAUGAGCCUAUGUUAGAUUAGCUAGUUGGUAGGGUAAAGGCCUACCAAGGCAGUGAUCUAUAGCUGGUCUGAGAGGAUGAUCAGCCACACUGGAACUGAGAUACGGUCCAGACUCCUACGGGAGGCAGCAGUGGGGAAUAUUGGACAAUGGGCGCAAGCCUGAUCCAGCUAUGCCGCGUGAGUGAGGAAGGCCUUAGGGUUGUAAAACUCUU
rnacentral:rRNA from 1 species